AUGAGGUGCUUGCACCUUAUCUUAGCGGCGGACGGGUGAGUAAUGCUUAGGAAUCUGCCUAUUAGUGGGGGACAACAUUCCGAAAGGAAUGCUAAUACCGCAUACGCCCUACGGGGGAAAGCAGGGGAUCUUCGGACCUUGCGCUAAUAGAUGAGCCUAAGUCGGAUUAGCUAGUUGGUGGGGUAAAGGCCUACCAAGGCGACGAUCUGUAGCGGGUCUGAGAGGAUGAUCCGCCACACUGGGACUGAGACACGGCCCAGACUCCUACGGGAGGCAGCAGUGGGGAAUAUUGGACAAUGGGCGGAAGCCUGAUCCAGCCAUGCCGCGUGUGUGAAGAAGGCCUUUUGGUUGUAAAGCACUUUAAGCGAGGAGGAGGCUACUUAGAUUAAUACUCUAGGAUAGUGGACGUUACUCGCAGAAUAAGCACCGGCUAACUCUGUGCCAGCAGCCGCGGUAAUACAGAGGGUGCGAGCGUUAAUCGGAUUUACUGGGCGUAAAGCGUGCGUAGGCGGCUGAUUAAGUCGGAUGUGAAAUCCCUGAGCUUAACUUAGGAAUUGCAUUCGAUACUGGUCAGCUAGAGUAUGGGAGAGGAUGGUAGAAUUCCAGGUGUAGCGGUGAAAUGCGUAGAGAUCUGGAGGAAUACCGAUGGCGAAGGCAGCCAUCUGGCCUAAUACUGACGCUGAGGUACGAAAGCAUGGGGAGCAAACAGGAUUAGAUACCCUGGUAGUCCAUGCCGUAAACGAUGUCUACUAGCCGUUGGGGCCUUUGAGGCUUUAGUGGCGCAGCUAACGCGAUAAGUAGACCGCCUGGGGAGUACGGUCGCAAGACUAAAACUCAAUGAAUUGACGGGGGCCCGCACAA
rnacentral:rRNA from 1 species